GCGUGUUUACUGUGCAUUAUAAUUUAAGUAUGACAAUCAAUAUAUCAUAUAAUUUAUUGACUUGCAAUAAAUUUGAAAUUUCUAUGUGGGAAAGGAGUGCGGCGGAAUUGGGACUGGUAGGAGGAUAUGAAGGCAAAUUUCGCCUUACCA